GCCUGACGGACCAAUAAGAGGGAGGAUUUGGGGGCCGGGCUACAAGGAAGCAGCCAGUGAGAGCGUGGUUUGAAGUCCAGGCUUGAGAGGACUGUAGACGGGGCCAACUUCGAAGGUCCUCGUGGCCGAAUGAUCUUCCAUCACUCAGGGAGCUGAAACUUGAUGCCUUCCGACUUUCAUGUCUGUACUCUUGGCGUUGGGAAGAGCCUCGCGGGAAGGUGUUGCAAGCUUUGGUCGCAAGAGAAAGAAAUAAGUCAACUUUUUACCCCCUCUGCCUUAACACGGAGUACACCUCGGCCUUUUUCCGCUUGGAUGCUCAUUAAGAGUUAGUUGACUUUGUAGCGGAUGCAAUAAAACUUGGAUGGUUUCAGGGCCCAAACAAUCCUGGUUUCUGUUUUUCUCUCUCCCCAACCACACCCCCAAGGAAAUUGCCUUUUCAGCAGGCGCCUGCGGGAAAGAACCGCAGGAGACAGAUUCCCUUGGAGACCUGCUGGGGUGGGGGAGAGCUGCGGGUAUGGAAAUAAAGGGGGCCAAGGUAAGAGCGCAGGGCG
rnacentral:lncRNA from 1 species